UACGUAGGUGGCAAGCGUUGUUCGGAUUUACUGGGCGUAAAGGGCGGGUAGGCGGCCACCGCAAGUCAGUUGUGAAAUCUCUGGGCUUAACCCAGAAAGGUCAACUGAUACUGCGGGGCUAGAGUGCAGAAGGGGCAACUGGAAUUCUCGGUGUAGCGGUGAAAUGCGUAGAUAUCGAGAGGAACACCUGCGGCGAAGGCGGGUUGCUGGGCUGACACUGACGCUGAACUGCGAAAGCUAGGGGAGCGAACGGG
rnacentral:rRNA from 1 species